GACCGCUCACUCGAAUCUGCUCGUCUGCCGUCGCCAUCUCGUGUCAACGUUGACGUUGACGCGUCUUGAGCGUUGGGCACGAGAACCCGUUCUGCUAUCUUUUACGGAAGUACAAGGAGAAAGCCCCGCCCUUCAGGGCGGGGAUGAAUCCGACAGUCGAUAACAC
rnacentral:misc_RNA from 1 species